rnacentral:rRNA from 1 species
UUAGCAUGGAAUAAUGAAAUAGGACGUAUGGUUCUCUUUUGUUGGUUUCUAGGACCAUCGUAAUGAUUAAUAGGGACGGUCGGGGGCAUCAGUAUUCAAUUGUCAGAGGUGAAAUUCUUGGAUUUAUUGAAGACUAACUACUGCGAAAGCAUUUGCCAAGGACGUUUUCAUUAAUCAAGAACGAAAGUUAGGGGAUCGAAGAUGAUCAGAUACCGUCGUAGUCUUAACCAUAAACUAUGCCGACUAGGGAUCGGGUGUUGUUCUUUUACUGACUCACUCGGCACCUUACGAGAAAUCAAAGUUUUUGGGUUCUGGGGGGAGUAUGGUCGCAAGGCUGAAACUUAAAGGAAUUGACGGAAGGGCACCACCAGGAGUGGAGCCUGCGGCUUAAUUUGACUCAACACGGGGAAACUCACCAGGUCCAGACACAAUAAGGAUUGACAGAUUGAGAGCUCUUUCUUGAUUUUGUGGGUGGUGGUGCAUGGCCGUUCUUAGUUGGUGGAGUGAUUUGUCUGCUUAAUUGCGAUAACGAACGAGACCUUAACCUACUAAAUAGUACUGUUAGCGUUUGCUGAUAUAGUUACUUCUUAGAGGGACUAUCGGUUUCAAGCCGAUGGAAGUUUGAGGCAAUAACAGGUCUGUGAUGCCCUUAGACGUUCUGGGCCGCACGCGCGCUACACUGACGGAGCCAACGAGUAUAUCCUUUGCCGAGAGGUAUGGGUAAUCUUGUGAAACUCCGUCGUGCUGGGGAUAGAGCAUUGCAAU